GUGCUCACUUCGGCAGCACAUAUACUAAUACUAAAAUUGGAACGAUACGGAGAUUAGCAUGCCCCUGCACAAGGAUGACAUGAAAAUUCGUGAAGCAUUCCAUAUUAAA
ensembl:snRNA U6 U6 spliceosomal RNA